GAGAAGUAGGCAAAUGAUGCGGCUGAACAAUGCCUCCUUGACUUCAGGGUAUAAAAACUACUUUCAUGAGCUUCAAGUCAGGGUAAUGGUGCUCAGAAAAAGAAGCCAAUCAGGAGAUCUGUUUUCUGUGCCCUUUUAAUACUUCUAACUCAGGCACCCAAACCAGCCUGUAGCAGAAAGAGCAUCAAAGCCAUCCUCUGGACUCUACACAAGCCUUUGUCCUAUGUCUGGAGACUUCUUGGAAGCUGGAGCACACAAAUAGCUACAGCAAACUUGAGGAAUGGGCAUGAAUAGACUGGCUUCGGGGAACCUGCCAGCUUGGCCGUGUGGCCAAGGUAAUAGGCAAGCCAAGGCACAGCUAGAGCUCAGAGCUGGAGGGGAAAUUAAAGCAGCAAAUGUAGAAACAUUAAGCCUGAAGAGGCGACAACGUUGAAUUCUAAAAUGCAGGCCAAAGCUCAGACUGCAAGCUGUCUGGCUGCUCCGGGUGUGCCCAGAAGUCAAAGUCCAGCAGGGGCAAAGGUGGAGGUGUGGUCCUGCAUGUGGGGUGUUGGGGGGAUGUGGAAGAGGAGGUGCUUUAAGAUCCAAAGAUUCCAGCUGCCCUGAUCUACCCUUGGAAGAAUAAAAGGCUAGGAACUGGACAAGUCAGGCUCAAGUCCAAGCUGCCUAAGGAAUCAGGGAAAGAAUGGAGCUAAGAGUGGGAGGUCAGGGCAGUAUCUAAAAAUCCAGGAUAGCAGCAAAGCUGGCGGUGGCCCCUGACUCUGGUAAGGGCAGCCUGCAGCACCAUGCCAAGGGGGGCCUGACUGAUCAUGCCCUGCAUUUGCAAACAAGGAUUAGUAGGGUAUGAGUAGGAUUCUGCUGGUGCCUGGGAAGGCAAUGCCAUCUACAUCUUUACAAAGUUUUAACAAAGGCCUGAAGGACACAACCUUCCCCAAAGUCCUGACGUCGCUGUUUGCUGGCAACAAAUAGAGUCAAAAGAAGAGAGGCACAGAAUGUGCCACGGGUGUGCUGCAUACAGCCCCGAUGACCACAAGGCCUUCUUGGGUCAAGUUCUGCCAUCUCUGGUUAAGAUGGGCUCACCCUCUAGGACCUUGAUUGAGUCCUCAGACCACCAAGAGUGCCCCACCAAGAGCCUCCCUCUUCUGGUGACUCGUGCCUGCUUCCCGUGGAGAGCUCCAGAAGGGAGGAAACUGUGAGGAGGUGGAGAACGUGGCAGGGAUCCUAACUUUCUUACUGAAGGAAGUUCUUAACAAGUACCCAUCUGCCUUCAGGGAAGAAAACAUAACUCAUUUUGGUCUUUCAAAUUCAGUUCUCAAAACCAAAUCCUGUUGUCAGCAAUCUGUGUCCCAACGCCUUCUUCAGCAACAGCAUUUUCCCUGUGGAAUUAGUUUCCAAUGUUCUUUCUUAAAUAAACCACUGAAGAUUAAAAGGAAUCCAGAUACCCACCA
rnacentral:lncRNA from 1 species